rnacentral:piRNA from 1 species
UUCUUUUUAUGAUUUAUUCUUCAUGUGUAU